rnacentral:rRNA from 1 species
UACGUAGGUGGCAAGCGUUACUCGGAAUCACUAGGCGUAAAGCGCAGGUAGGUGGCUAGAUAAGUUUCUUGUGAAAGCUCCCGGCUUAACCGGGAGAGGCCAAGGAAUACUGUCUGGCUUGAGUAUGGUAGGGGUAACUGGAAUUCCCGGUGUAGCGGUGAAAUGCGUAGAUAUCGGGAGGAAUACCUAUGGCGAAGGCAGGUUACUGGGCCAUUACUGACACUGAGCUGCGAAAGCUAGGGGAGCAAACAGG